GCACUGCUGACGAGUCCUAAACAGGACGAAACAGCUGUCCAGUAC
rnacentral:hammerhead_ribozyme from 1 species